rnacentral:sRNA from 1 species
GCGGGCGGGGCGCAGGCCGCGGGACCCGAGCCCGGGGGAGCGAGAGAGCGGAAGCGCCGAGGAUCCGAUUCACUCGCUGGGGAGACCUAUGGGCCGAAGCCGUGUAAAUGCGUUUUAAGCAGGGGCCUCGGCUCCGCAACUGCCACUCCUCCUCGGGGUGUUGCACAAGUUUCGAGGUCACCGGCGACCCCCCCUAGCAGCGCGCCUGGCUCUGGCCCCCGCGAAGGAGGACGGAGCUUGGAUGGUUCUGUGCAUUGCUACCGAUGACUCCCACUCCCUGAGCCGCCUGAGCCUAAAGUUUGGAGUGUCACUGAAAUCCUGCAGACACCUGCUUGAAAAUGCGAAGAAGAGCCACGUGGAGGUGGUGGGUGUGAGUUUUCACAUUGGCAGUGGCUGUCCUGACCCUCAGGCCUACGCUCAGUCCAUCGCAGAUGCCCGGCUCGUGUUUGAAAUGGGCACUGAGCUGGGUCACAAGAUGCACAUUCUGGACCUUGGUGGCGGCUUCCCUGGCACAGAAGGGACUAAAGUGAGAUUUGAAGAGAUUGCUUCCAUGAUCAACUCAGCCUUGGACCUGUACUUCCCAGAGGGCUGUGGCGUGGACAUCUUUGCUGAGCUGGGGCGCUACUACGUGACUUCGGCCUUCACUGUGGCAGUCAGCAUCACUGCCAAGAAGGAGGUUCUGCUGGACCAGCCUGG